UUCGCAACUUUACUUCACGGGGGGCGUAGUUAAAUAGUAUUCUAGCUCGUUAGCUACAUUGUGGGGUUGUGGUAAAUGCAUACUUAAAUUUGAUCUAAAUGCUAACAGUUGUCUUAGUUUAAUUUUACGCGGCUGUUAUGGCGACACUGUUUUGUAAAAGAAGACUAUUCAAUGUGAUCCGAAGAAUCGUUCAAAACCGAUCUCUUUGCAGCAGCAUGUCUGUCAGCUCGGGCAGAAAGAGUGUGAAUGGAGUGGACCUUUUCUACCAGCAGACUGGCAAGGGAGACCACUCUGUGUUACUGCUGCCAGGGGCGCUGGGAAGUGGUCAGACUGAUUUUGCCCCACAGCUGGAUAAGUUGGAUAAGAGGCGCUUUACAGUGGUGGCAUGGGAUCCCCGUGGUUAUGGACACUCUCGUCCCCCAGUCAGAGACUUCCCUAUAGACUUCUUCCACAGAGACGCAAAAGAUGCUGUAGACCUGAUGCAGGCAUUGGGGUUUAGCCGUUUUUCUCUGUUGGGCUGGAGUGAUGGGGGCAUCACAGCUUUGAUUGCUGCUGCAUUAAACCCUGCCCUUAUUAGGAAGAUGGUGGUCUGGGGCUCAAAUGCCUACGUAUCAGAGCAAGAUGUCCAAAUCUACAAUGCAAUUCGAGACACAUCACUGUGGAGCGAGCGAAUGAGGCAGCCAAUGGAGAAAAUGUAUGGUGCUCAAUACUUCAGAGAGACCUGGGAGAGAUGGGUGGAUGGAAUCUGCCAAUUUAAAAGCAGACCUGAAGGUAACAUAUGUAAGGAGUUAUUGGAACUGAUUGAUUGUCCCACAUUGAUUGUCCAUGGGGCUAAAGAUCCGAUGGUCCCAUCCUUUCACCCAGAGUACCUCCUUCAGAACAUCCGCAGUUCACGAAUGCAUGUGAUGCCAGAAGGCAAACAUAACCUGCACCUGAGAUUUGCCACUGAAUUUAACUCACUAGUGGAAGCUUUCCUGAGUGAAUGACUGAUUCCAGGAUCAAGAUCAAGAGUCAUGUUCAAAGGUUUCUGUUCUUCUUGUUUCUAAAAGGACUCCAUGCCGUUGUCGACGUCGGUACUAGGAGAUUCAUCAGAAACGACCCCAAAUUCUUUAGCUCAAAGACUCA